CCAAUAGCGUAUAUUAAAGUUGCUGCAGUUAAAAAGCUCGUAGUUGAAUUUCGGGAUCAAUAUGUUGGUCGUGCCUUGGUACGUACUAGCUUAUUGAUUUCUUCCUUCUGACGAACCAUGAUGUCAUUAAUUUGGUGUCUUGGGGAAUCAGGACUGUUACUUUGAAAAAAUUAGAGUGUUUAAAGCAGGCUCACGCUUGAAUACAUUAGCAUGGAAUAAUGAAAUAGGACAUUUGAUUCUAUUUUGUUGGUUUCUAGGAUCGACGUAAUGAUUAAUAGGGAUAGUUGGGGGCAUUAGUAUUCAAUUGUCAGAGGUGAAAUUCUUGGAUUUAUUGAAGACUAACUACUGCGAAAGCAUUUGCCAAGGAUGUUUUCAUUAAUCAAGAACGAAAGUUAGGGGAUCGAAGACGAUCAGAUACCGUCGUAGUCUUAACCAUAAACUAUGCCGACUAGGGAUCGGAUGAUGUUAAUUUUUUAAUGACUCAUUCGGCGCCUUACG
rnacentral:misc_RNA from 1 species